ensembl:ncRNA C03C10.11 ncRNA
GGGUGGCUGAUUAAUUAGGAUAAUUGCUGAGAAUUUAGAGGCUCAGAGAGCACGUGACUUUUUGAAUGGGGGUUUUAGUUUUAUAUGUAGGCAGGCACGUAUCAUGCUAUGCCUGCCUACAAUGGGAACCUUAUAUGUGGA